rnacentral:rRNA from 1 species
UACGUAGGGUGCAAGCGUUAAUCGGAAUUACUGGGCGUAAAGCGUGCGCAGGCGGUGAUGUAAGACAGGUGUGAAAUCCCCGGGCUUAACCUGGGAACUGCAUUUGUGACUGCAAGGCUGGAGUCUGGCAGAGGGGGGUAGAAUUCCACGUGUAGCAGUGAAAUGCGUAGAGAUGUGGAGGAACACCGAUGGCGCAAGGCAGCCCCCUGGGUCAAGACUGACGCUCAUGCACGAAAGGCGUGGGGAGCAAACAGG